ncrna:unclassified sequences emrB-Lactobacillus RNA
UACUCAGCAUAUUUGAUAGUAUGCGGUUUAAUAUAAUUGGUUUUACCAAUUAAAGAAAGAGUAG